CGGACGGGUGAGUAACACGUGGAUAACCUACCUAUAAGACUGGGAUAACUUCGGGAAACCGGAGCUAAUACCGGAUAAUAUAUUGAACCGCAUGGUUCAAUAGUGAAAGACGGUUUUGCUGUCACUUAUAGAUGGAUCCGCGCCGCAUUAGCUAGUUGGUAAGGUAACGGCUUACCAAGGCAACGAUGCGUAGCUGACCUGAGAGGGUGAUCGGCCACACUGGAACUGAGACACGGUCCAG
rnacentral:rRNA from 1 species